rnacentral:rRNA from 1 species
GACGAACGCUGGCGGCGUGCCUAAUACAUGCAAGUUGAGCGCUGAAGGUUGGUACUUGUACCGACUGGAUGAGCAGCGAACGGGUGAGUAACGCGUGGGGAAUCUGCCUUUGAGCGGGGGACAACAUUUGGAAACGAAUGCUAAUACCGCAUAAAAACUUUAAACACAAGUUUUAAGUUUGAAAGAUGCAAUUGCAUCACUCAAAGAUGAUCCCGCGUUGUAUUAGCUAGUUGGUGAGGUAAAGGCUCACCAAGGCGAUGAUACAUAGCCGACCUGAGAGGGUGAUCGGCCACGUUGGGACUGGGACACGGCCCAAACUCCUACGGGAGGCAGCAGUAGGGAAUCUUCGGCAAUGGACGAAAGUCUGACCGAGCAACGCCGCGUGAGUGAAGAAGGUUUUCGGAUCGUAAAACUCUGUUGGUAGAGAAGAACGUUGGUGAGAGUGGAAAGCUCAUCAAGUGACGGUAACUACCCAGAAAGGGACGGCUAACUACGUG